GAAGUGCUUCGGAUCGCGGCGACGUGGGCGGUUCGCCGCCGACGACGUCGCGAGAAGUUCACUGAACCUUAUCAUUUAGAGGAAGGAGAAGUCGUAACAAGGUUUCCGUAGGUGAACCUGCGGAAGGAUCAUUG
rnacentral:rRNA from 1 species